AGCUGAAAUAACGUCGUAAAUUGCGAUGGAAUAGAUUCAUUGUUAUAAUAGCAGUUACUCGGUGUAUUUACACAACCGUUGAGAAAAUAUUGUACUACGAAAAAAAACAUUCUCAAAUAUAAAAUAAAGAUAGGAAUUGAAAAAUAACAAAUCUUUAUUUAUCUGUUACCAGAAAUCAAACUAGUUUAUUAAUUGUUACCGGUUCAUCAGCUAGAUUUAAUUAUACCAACAACAAAUGUUUAAAAGAUUAUAUAGUUCACGUAUAAAACAAAUACAUGUUUUAAGUAUUAUAACAUGGAAAUACCAGUAAAUAAAUUGGGUCUGUCUUUCUGUUAUCGAAUGGUUCUCUACAUAACCUAAAAUCUGCUGAACAAAAGAUAAUGUCAUGCUGCUUGCACUAGUAUCUUCCUUGCAUAUUAAAGUAAUUAGUUUUUGCUUACCAACGGCUUUAUGUGUUCUGCGAAGCACGGGCCUCGGAGGCGAAACGGAUGCCGCUCACUUGCUUUAACAUGUUCUUCUCAUAUCCGUGU